UAGGGAAUAUUGCAAAAUGGGCGAAAGCCCGAUGCAGCAACGCCGCGUGGGCGAUGAAGGCCUUCGGGUCGUAAAGCCCUUUUUGAGGGGAUGAGGAAGGACAGUACCCUCAGAAUAAGCACCGGCUAACUCCGUGCCAGCAGCCGCGGUAAUACGGAGGGUGCGAGCGUUAUCCGGAUUUACUGGGUUUAGAGGGUGCGUAGGCGGGCUAUUAAGUCAGAGGUGAAAUCUCCGGGCUCAACCUGGAAACUGCCUUUGAUACUAUUAGCCUUGAAUUAUGUUGAGGUUGGCGGAAUAUAACAUGUAGCGGUGAAAUGCUUAGAUAUGUUAUGGAAUACCGAUUGCGAAGGCAGCUGGCUAAACAUAUAUUGACGCUGAUGCACGAAAGCGUGGGUAGCGAACA
rnacentral:rRNA from 1 species